rnacentral:lncRNA from 1 species
GACAGCUGUGUCCAUAUUGAUGCGAAGGAGAAAGGCGAUCAAUCGAAGUGAACUAAACAGGCCCAUUAAUCUCCGAGGAGACCAAGUGUUUGUGUGUGGAUGAGAGAAGGAGAGAGAGAGCAGGAGAGAGAGAGAGAGAGAGGGGUUAGUUGAAAUGCGCGGCGCAUUCUUGUGUGGAGGGCGAAGCGAGCAGCAGUCAUCCGCAGGGCAGCGGGAAACACUUCCAGCGCGCAGCAGAGGAGCAAGUGGAGCUGGAAGUUGUCUCUGUGUCCGGAGACGCCGCGGGAGUCUUGUACCUUCGAGGGUUUGAUUCGUCUCCUGCAGCGCGCGGAGGAGCAGGAGGAGC